UUCAAAUAUUUAGACAGGUUUGCUGAAAAUAAAUGCAGUUGACAGUGAGAGGAUGUUUUUUUUUUUUUUUUUGCUGAGUUCAUUUUAGUAAAAAUGUAGAUACAUAAUCAGCCUACAUGUCAAAGUGUAAUCUAGGUGAUAUGGCUACAGCCUCUCAUGUCCACACCGAUGCUAACAUGAGGGAGGCGCUAGAAAAUGUAACCAAACUUUAAUGAGACUGCUAAUUACAUAAAUACAGUGCCUUCAGUAGUAGUUACACCCAUUGACUUUUUCCAAAUUUUGUCUUGUUACAGCCUGAAUUUAAAUUGGUUUAGUGCGAUUUAUGGUAAGAAACUAACCAAUCUUUAAAUAUAUUAGUUAGUUGGGCUAGGCGUGCCGCUAGCGCCCCACCUCGACAACAUCCGGUGAAUUUGCAGAGAGCGAAAUUCAAAAUACAACAUUCGUAAUAUUAAUCAUUCAUGAAAAUACAAGUGUCAUAUAUCAUUUAAAAGCUUAACUUCUUGGUUAUCCAGCCACUUUGUCAGGUUUCAAAAAGGCUUUACGGCGAAAGCAUACCAUGCGAUUAACUGAGGACAGCGCCCCGCGUACAAAGGCGUCACAAGUCAGAAAUAGUGAUAAAAUAAAUCACUUACCUUUGAAGAUCCUCCUCUGUUUUAAAUUCCAAGGGUCCCAGCUACAUAACAAAUGGUCCCUUUGUUCGAAAAAGUGCUUUAUAUCCCAAAAAAGUCAGUUUAGUUGGCGCGCUUGAUUCAGUAAUCCACCGGUUUCCCUAGUUCAAAAUGCAUACAAAUGAAUUCCAAAAGUUACCAAUAAACUUUGUCCAAACAAGUCAAACAAUGUUUCUAAUCAGUCCUCAGGUACCGUAAUUAUGUAAAUAAAAGAUACAAUUUAAGAUGGAGAAUAGUAUGUUCAUUACUGGAGAUAAAUAAAUAACAAAGUUCGCGCCACAAUACUACAGCCAAAAUGGGAGUCACCUAGAAAAACUAGCUUGAAACUCUUUCUAAAGACUGUUGACAUCUACUGGAAGCCCUAGGAACUGCAAUCUGGAAGGUAUUCCAAUGAGUGGUGAGCUCCAAAAACAAAAAUCUGCAUGGAUUCUCCUUGGGUUUUUGCCUGCUAUAUAAGUUCUGUUAUACUCACAGACAUUAUUUUAACAGUUUUGGAAACUUUAUAGUGUUUCUAUCCAAUACUACCAAUUAUAUGCAGAUUCUAGCUUCUGGGCCUGAGUAACAAGCAGUUUGGGCACCUCAGUCAUCCAAACUUCUGAAUACUGCCCCCCCUAUCCCUAAGAAGCUAGCUAGGCUUACAGGUUAGUUGGCUAGAUUGAUGAUUUGAUGCCAAUUAGCAUGCUAGCUAGAUAGGUAGCUAGCCGGCUAUUGGCAAUACCAAUAACCAGAGACAUAUAUUGUAUGUAUUGAAUAUCUCUUUGAGCAAGGUGAGGUUAUUAAUUAAUCAUUUUGAUGAUGUAUCAAUACACCCAAUCACUACAAAGAUACAGGCGGCCUUCCUAACUCAGUUGCCGGAAAGUAAGGAAACUGCUCAGGGAUUUCACUGAGACCAAAGGUGACUUCAAAACAGUUAGAGUUUAAUGUCUGUGAUAGGAGAACUGACAUUGUAGUUACUCCAUAAUAUUAACCUAAAUUACUGAGUGAAAAGGAAGCUUGUACAGAACAAAAAUAUUCCAAAACAUGUAUCCCGUUUCCAGGAUACAAAGGCACUAAUACAAAGUGUUAUGUUUGGGGCAAAUCAACAGAUCACUGAUAUUUUCAAACAUGGUGGUGGCUGUAUCAUGUUAUUAGUGUGCUUGUCAUCGGCAAGGACUAGGCAGGUUUUUUAAGAUAAAAAUAAAUGGAAUAGAGCUAAGAGCAGGCAAAAUCUUAGAGGAAAACUUGAUUCAGUCUCCUUUCCAACAUAUACUGGGAGACACAUUCAUCUUUCAGCAGGAAAAAAUCUAAAACAUAAGGCCAAAUAUACACUGGUUGCUUACCAAGACAACAUUGAAUGUGGCCUAAUUUUGACCUAAAUUGGAAUGACAAUAUAUGGCAAGACUUAAAUGGCUUGAUCAAUGAUCAACCAACUUGACCGAGCAUGAAGAAUUUUUUAAAUAAUAAUGUGUAAAUAUUGUACAAUCCAGGUGUACAAAGCUCUUAGACUUACUCAGAAAGACACAGCUGUAAUCACUUCCAAAGGUGAUUCUAACAUGCAUUGACUCAGGGGUGUGAAUACUUAUGUAAUUGAUGUUACAGGUUUAGUUUUUUUGGUUUAUAUUUCGAGGUAAUAACUUACCACGAAGGGCGCACCGAUUGGUGUAAGUACACUACAUAACUAAAAGUAUGUUAUGCAGUGCAGCUCUAGCAGGGCAGAAAUUUGACAAACUAACUUGUUGGAAAGGUUGCAUCAUAUGACUACCACGUUGAAAGUCACUGAGCUCUUCAGUAUGGGCCAUUCUACUGCCAAUGUUUGUCUAUGGAGAUUGCAUGGCGGUGUGCUCAAUUUUAUACAUACAUGGUUGAAAUAGCCAAAUCCUCUAAUUUGAAACGGUGUCGACAUAGACCACUCUUAUAGAACGAGUGCAAGGAAACAGACAACUAAGAGAAAGGACAUUGUGACAUCUUGUGGAAAAUCAGAGACUUACACCUGAGGAUGAAAGACCAGGCCAUCUGAAGUGGGCCCAACAGAGAUACCCAAUGGAGACCUUCAACAUGUAAAUACAUGCAUUGCACUUCUUACCCAUAAGAACGGCAGUUCGGGGCAAGGUAUUAGGGCUAAACUAAGCGUAGUUUACAAAUUUAUCCAAGUCUCUCUCUCUCUCAAAACACGUGUCAUAAUGUGUUGGUCCGCUAGGGACCUGUUGUCAUUGUAUUAAGUUCUAAGCAAUAACCUAGACUGUGUGUAUCUUAUGUUAUCAUUUAGCUUGUUAGUAAAUAAAUAAUCAACUCAAUUUGUGUGGAAUGGAAUGAUUAGUGAGACCCGGGUUUGUGGAGAUUUAGUGAGACCCAGGAAAUUUAGUAAGACCUGGGUGAGACCCGGGUUUGUGGAGAGUCUACAACUUUCAGAAUGAGAAUGAUUUGAGGAAAUGAUUGAUUGUCUGUUAUGAUAUCGAGAUAUUCGGGUAUACUCUUGAGUUAAUUCGGGAAACAGUAACUCAUUUAACAAACUUUUCCCGUGGUGCCCCAAGUUACUAAUUAGUUCAUUGUUACAUUAUUAAUUUAAUUGUGUAAUAAUUAAACAUAGUUAAUUAUUCUAAAAAUAGCAUGUCAUCACAUGAAUGAUAGUCACGUCACGACAAGCCUGAUUUCAAAAUUGAUUAAAUAGUUGUUUUUUCACCAUCUACCUCACCCCUAUGGAGGACCAAGACGGCCAAAAUCAAAAAUAAAUAAAUAAACAAGUAUAUAUAUGCACAUAAAUGUAAAAAAAAGAAUAUACACGGAAAUAAAUCAACACAAUUUGAUAUAAAUGAGUACUUUUGCAUUUACUUAUUUUUCCAAAAUAUCUAUUUUCCUAAUGAUGAAUUUCUGUAUUUAUUUAUUUCCCUAUUUAUUUCCUUGACCAUUUAUUCCUGUAUUUAUUUAUUUUCCUAUUUAUUUAUUUUUGCCAACUUUUAUUUAUUUAUGUAUUUCUGUCACUGUGAGCAUGUCUACACGACGAGUGUCGGUGUCUGAGCUUCUUCGAGAGGAGGCUGAUCGUCUUGAAGAAAUAGAGCACUCAAGUUCAUCUGGAACCUCAUCGGGCACUUCAGGGGGUCAAGUAGGCCUACACCCUGUUGAUGGACGUCUGUGAAAACCUCCUACAUUGUGCGCACGACCCAGAAUACCCUGGAAGCCUACCGCUACAUUGACUGUGGUUCCAACUCCACGGUUCACCAGUCCCCAAACCUCCCUCCCCCACCCACUACAGUCACCACCAGCCACAGUGAUGAGUGACAGGGUCACAGGGACCAUUGGUGCUCGCCAAGGUGCUGGUAGCCAGACCACAAGAACCAAUUCACUCCGAGCAUUUGUUUCGACUGCAGGAUUAUUAGGCUUGGUCACUUGCCUACGUAAAUGCAUAAAACAUUAGCUCAUCAGUAAAUUAUAUUUUCAGCUGUUGUGUAUUUGACUGAUGUUCAGGGUAUGACUAAUUUACAGGCUCCUGUAGCUUCAACAUCCUUGAUUUUAGGAGUUAAUUAGUUAACCUUGACUUGAUCAUAGUAACUGGUGUUACUACUGAAUUAUGACUGUAUCCUGCUGUGCUAGUCGUUUUAUUUGUAACAUUGAGAGCAUCCUUUAAAAUUUUAGGAAGGUCCUUUAGCGUGGGUUCAUGUGAUUUAAGGUGCUUGGCAUAGUAACAAUGUAUAAAGCGACUGACAUUGUAUUGCGCAAGAAGGGAGAUUUGUUCUUUGCAAUUUAUAUGGGGGACAUGACAAGACUAGUUGAGGGAUGUGCUUAAGGCACAUAUAUUGACUCCAAUGCUUCCCACAGUUGUGUCAAGUUGGCUGGUUGUCCUUUGGGUUGUGGACCAUUGUUGAUGCACACGGGACACUGUUGAGUGUGAAAAACCCUGCAGCGUUCUAGUUUUUGACACAAACUAUUACGCCUUGCACCUACUACCAGCCUGCUCAAAGGCAUUUAAAAAUGUUGUCUUGCCCAUUCACCCCCAAGCCAUAAGACUCCUGAACAUCUAGUCAAAUGGCUACCCGAACUAUUUGCAUUGCCCCCCCUCCCAUUCCCUCUCCACACCAC